rnacentral:rRNA from 1 species
CAGCAGCCGCGGUAAUACGCAGGUGGCAAGCGUUGUCCGGAAUUAUUGGGCGUAAAGCGCGCGCAGGUGGUUUAAUAAGUCUGAUGUGAAAGCCCACGGCUCAACCGUGGAGGGUCAUUGGAAACUGUUAAACUUGAGUGCAGGAGAGAAAGGUGGAAUUCCUAGUGUAGCGGUGAAAUGCGUAGAGAUUAGGAGGAACACCAGUGGCGAAGGCGGCUUUUUGGCCUGUAACUGACACUGAGGCGCGAAAGCGUGGGGAGCAAACAGGAUUAGAUACCCGCGUAGUCCCUGUCUCUUAUAC